rnacentral:lncRNA from 1 species
AUGGAACAGGGAUCUCUGAGGAUUUCUUUUAUGAUUUUGUCCCCAGUUUUCUUCUACUUUCUUGCUCAUUCAGGAGUUUCUGAGUUCCCUCCAGUGAUGGAUGGGGAGUUUAACAACACACAGGGCUUCAUUCACAGUGGGAUACACGAAGGACUAGUGCUGCUCCCAUUAGAGGCUGACAAGGACACAGAUGAGCACGGAUUAAAGGAGCGAUGUGUCCUGUCUGGUUUCAGAUUCCAGAUUGCCUCUUCUUCCCUACCCUGCAUCCAAGGCACCAACGAGAACUGACUUCAUGAUUCUGAGGACCAAACAAGUCUGGGGAAGAAACAGCAUAUACUUCCAUGUAUACACAAUGGAUCUGACUACCCAAACACACGGGGAAGUUUGAGAUUCUUUUGAUAUUACUUCUGAACACGCAGUACUUCUUUCUUCAGUACAUGGAAAAGAGAUCAACUCCUUGUUUAGUAGUACUGCACAGACGUCUGACACCAUCUGGGAAUGAUCGUAGAAUCUAUGAACUUGGAGAUUGCAUGUUUUUACUCGAUGUAUUUCCUAGAAGAGUCUGAAACUUCACAUGCUGGUCCGUAUGCUACCUCAACCCAUUGUGAAUAAAUUAUUUUUAUAACAGCUAUACA